UACGGAAGGCAGCAGUGGGGAAUAUUGCACAAUGGGCGCAAGCCUGAUGCAGCCAUGCCGCGUGUAUGAAGAAGGCCUUCGGGUUGUAAAGUACUUUUCAGUCGUGAGGAAGGUGUUAAGGUUAAUAACCUUAGCAAUUGACGUUAGCGACAGAAGAAGCACCGGCUAACUCCGUGCCAGCAGCCGCGGUAAUACGGAGGGUGCGAGCGUUAAUCGGAAUUACUGGGCGUAAAGGGCACGCAGGCGGUUAAUUAAGUUGGAUGUGAAUCCCCGGGCUUAACCUGGGAAUGGCAUUCAAGACUGGUUAGCUAGAGUCUUGUAGAGGGGGUGAAUUCCAUGUGUAGCGGUGAAAUGCGUAGAGAUGUGGAGGAAUACCGGUGGCGAAGGCGGCCCCUGGGACAAAGACUGACGCUCAUGUGCGAAAGCGUGGGGAGCAAACAGGGAUUAGAUACC
rnacentral:rRNA from 1 species